UACGUAGGGGGCAAGCGUUGUCCGGAUUUAUUGGGCGUAAAGAGCGUGUAGGCGGCCAUACAGGUCCGUUGUGAAAACUGGAGGCUUAACCUCCAGACGUCGAUGGAAACCGUAUGGCUAGAGUCCGGAAGAGGAGAGUGGAAUUCCUGGUGUAGCGGUGAAAUGCGCAGAUAUCAGGAAGAACACCCGUGGCUAAGGCGGUUCUCUAGUACGGUACUGACGCUGAGACGCGAAAGCGUGGGGAGCGAACAGG
rnacentral:rRNA from 1 species